rnacentral:piRNA from 1 species
UGUGGUGCGAAAUGUUUUAUGGACAGA